CACACAAACAGACAAACUUCGCUUCUUGAUAUGAAAUUCAGUUUAUUUUGAAAUAAGAAAACACAGAUUAGUGAACAAAUACAAACUAAAGAGAUAAUUACAGUAAAAGUACAAAGGUAAGAUGACUAUAAACUAUUUUAUAUGCAAUUAAGGUUUAUAAAAUACUAAGUACUAUUUAUAAAUCUAAAUACUUCAUAGUGUUAAGUGUUUUGACUUUUGAGUUCAUAUUAAAUACUGGUAAACAAUGGCAGUAUUUUAGCAAAAGGUAGUGCAACACUGCAACCUCUAUAAUUAUUAUUUAGGUAUUGUCAGGAUGGAAUUUGAAUCUUCUGGAGCAAGUCUAUCACAGAGAUAUUAUGAACCAUGCAUGCAAUUUGUACAUAAUCAUAUAUUUGCCCAUUAUAUUUAUAAACUGAUAGUUAAUAAUUAAUCUUUCACAGACUAAUAAAAUCAUCUGGGGCCGGUAGUUCAAAGGCUUUCACAGGCUUCGAACAACCGGGCCCAGAUGAAUUUUAUUAGUAAUAUGUGAAAGAGUAAUAGUAUUAACUGUCAACUUUAUAAAUAUAAUGGGCAAAUUAGAGAUGGAGUAUAUAAAAUACUAAAGUAGGCUCAUUGCCAAUUGAUGGAUUAGGUUAACAUAAUUAAUAAACUAUAGAUGGUUUUGUUGCAUCUCACUCGAUGGAAAUUUUAAUGUUGGGUUUUGUUGAUGGAUAAAUCGAGUACUUAAUAAUUUGAAUUAAAAUAUGGACCUAACCAGGCCCUAAUUGCCUGAAUGGCAUCUUAUUCAAAUAAUCAUUUAACUUGAAAUAAAGGGAUCUCCCUCAAUUGAUUUAGCCUGCAGAGGGCCAACCCCAUUCCUGGAUCACUUAACCUGAAAUUCAGGCCCUACUUUCAAAUUUCUGUCUGCAUCCUUUUGAAUGUUCAAUAUUUUUAACCUUUAACAUUAAUGAUAAUGAUUAUUCAAUUAAAGUCAGCAAUUUCUUUUUCAUCCUGAGAACAUCCAGUUAAUUCAGUCCUCCUGAAUUUGUUUGACACUCCUUAGCAGUGAUAUUUCUGUAGAUUUGCCAUUAUUUUAUUCCAGAUAUGAACUCACAGGCCCUAUAAAUUAUGAUUAAAUACAUAUAGUGCCAUUAAUUUACAAAAUGGACCUUUGCAAUGUUUAUGCAUGCACUAGUCAAUUGAAACCCCUAACCCCGGGACAGGGCGGGGAAUUAACGGGGGAAUGGUCGUGGAUUAACACGGUCUUAAUGCAGAUUUCCCCCAGGGUACAGGGUAAUAAAUAACAAAUCAAUUUAUUAGCCAGGACAAUUAAUUCCCAAGUCAUGAAAAUUUCCCAAGUCAUGAAAAUUUGCCAAGUGCUGGGGCCAUAGGGACAGUAAUUUUAACAGUCAAUAUUCUCCCGGUAGC
rnacentral:lncRNA from 1 species